CAAGAAACAAAGGCAAAGCCUCAUACAAACUUUAGCUUUACCAUCAAAGCCUUGAGAAGAAAGAAGAAGCUUGGUUAGUGUUUUGGAGUCAAAUAUUACUAGAUGUCAUGUGUAUGAGUGAGUAUGACAACUAGAACCAUAACCGGAUCUUAAAAACCUAAGUAUUGAAUCUUUGUUAGAAGAUACAAAGACAAAGACUCAUACGGACUUCGACUACACUAUCAAAGCUUUGAGAAGCAAGAAGAAGCUUGGUUAGUGUUUUGGAUUCGAAUAUGACUUGAUGUCAUGUGUAUGACUCAGUAUAAACACUAGAACCGCAACGGAUCUUAAAAGCAUAAGUAUUGUAUCAUUGUUAGAAGAUACAAUGACGAAGACUCAUACGGACUUCGACUACACCAUCAAAGCUUUGAGAAGCAAGAAGCAGUUGGUUAGUGUUUUGGAGUCGAAUAUGACUUGAUGGCAUGUGUAUGAGUGAGUAUAAAAACUAGAUCCGCAACGGAUCUUAAAAGCCUAAAUAUUGUAUCCUUGUUAGAAGAUACAUAGACAAAGUCUCAUACGGAAUUCGGCUAAACCAUCAAAGCUUUUAGAAGCAAGAAGAAGGUUGGUUAGUGUUUUGGAGUGAAAUCUAACUAGAUGUCAUGUGUAUGAGUGAGUAUACCAACUAGAACCACAAUUGGAAUUUUAAAAGCCUAAGUAUUAUAUCCUUGUUAGAAGAUACAAAGACAAACACUCAUACGGACUUUGGCUACACCAUCAAAGCUUUGAGAAGCAAGAAGAAGCUUGGUUAGUGUUUUGGAGUCGAAUAUGACUUGAUGUGAUGUGUAUGAUUGAGUAUAAGAAAUUAAACCGCAACCGGAUCUUAAAAGCCUAAGUAUUGUUUCCUUGUUAGAAGAAACAAAGGCAAAGCCUCAUACAAACUUUAGCUUUACCAUCAAAGCCUUGAGAAGAAAGAAGAAGCUUGGUUAGUGUUUUGGAGUCAAAUAUUACUAGAUGUCAUGGGUAUGAGUGAGUAUGACAACUAGAACCAUAACCGGAUCUUAAAAACCUAAGUAUUGAAUCUUUGUAAGAAGAUACAAAGACAAAGACUCAUACGGACUUCGACUACACUAUCAAAGCUUUGAGAAGCAAGAAGAAGCUUGGUUAGUGUUUUGGAUACGAAUAUGACUUGAUGUCAUGUGUAUGACUCAGUAUAAACACUAGAACCGCAACGGAUCUUAAAAGCAUAAGUAUUGUAUCAUUGUUAGAAGAUACAAUGACGAAGACUCAUACGGACUUCGACUACACCAUCAAAGCUUUGAGAAGCAAGAAGCAGUUGGUUAGUGUUUUGGAGUCGAAUAUGCCUUGAUGUCAUGUGUAUGAGUGAGUAUAAAAACUAGAACCGCAACGGAUCUUAAAAGCCUAAAUAUUGUAUCCUGGUUAGAAAAUACAUAGACAAUGUCUCAUACGGAAUUCGGCUAAACCAUCAAAGCUUUUAGAAGCAAGAAGAAGCUUGGUUAGUGUUUUGGAGUGAAAUCUAACUAGAUGUCAUAUGUAUGAGUGAGUAUACCAACUAGAACCACAAUUAGAAUUUUAAAAGCCUAAGUAUUAUAUCCUUUUUAGAAGAUACAAAGACAAACACUCAUACGGACUUUGGUUACACCAUCAAAGCUUUGAGAAGCAAGAAGAAGCUUGGUUAGUGUUUUGGAGUCGAAUAUGACUUGAUGUGAUGUGUAUGAUUGAGUAUAAGAAAUUAAACCGCAACCGGAUCUUAAAAGCCUAGGUAUU
rnacentral:sRNA from 1 species